rnacentral:rRNA from 1 species
ACGUAGGUGGCAAGCGUUGUCCGGAUUUAUUGGGUUUAAAGGGUGCGUAGGCGGUCUAUUAAGUCAGUGGUGAAAUAUGGCAGCUCAACUGUCAAGGUGCCAUUGAUACUGAUGGACUUGAGUGAAGUCGAAGUAGGCGGAAUUGACGGUGUAGCGGUGAAAUGCUUAGAUAUCGUCAAGAACACCGAUAGUGAAGACAGCUUACUAGGCUUAUACUGACGCUGAGGCACGAAAGUGUGGGGAUCAAACAGGA